UGCCAGCAGCCGCGGUAAUACGAAGGUGGCGAGCGUUACUCGGAAUCACUGGGCGUAAAGCGUACGUAGGCGGCCAAUCAAGUUGGAUGUGAAAUCCCACAGCUUAACUGUAGAACUGCCAUUGAUACUGUUGUUCUUGAGUACAGUUGAGGUAGGCGGAAUGUGUCAUGUAGCGGUGAAAUGCUUAGAUAUGACACAGAACACCGAUUGCGAAGGCAGCUUACUAAACUAUUACUGACGCUCAGGCACGAAAGCGUGGGGAGCAAACAGGAUUAGAUA
rnacentral:rRNA from 1 species